rnacentral:misc_RNA from 1 species
GCCAAAUGAUGUAUUUUGCCUUUCCAAAAUGUAAUUCAUCAUCCAUUCAUUUGGGUUAGUAUCCCCAUUACAAAAACAAGGUCAUCUCUUUUACAUUUUCUUUAUAUCUUUCUAUUCUGUUUGCCUACCUAUAAGCUAAUUAUUGUGCUUUUCCCCCUAUCUACAAGGCCUUCACAAUAUGUAAGUUCCAAAAUAUUGCUAUUUACAGCAGGUUCAGCGCAAAUAUUGCAACAGUCACCUUGUGAUUCAUCUUCCACCUCUAGAAGUCAUCAGCUUUGGCCUUUUUGCAGACUGUUCAUCUGAUUCUGAAACCAA